UACAGAGGUCCCGAGCGUUGUUCGGAUUUAUUGGGCGUAAAGGGUGCGUAGGUGGCAAAGUAAGUUGGAUGUGAAAUCCUGGGGCUCAACCUCAGAAUUGCAUUCAAUACUGCUUAGCUAGAGAGCUGUAGAGGAGACUGGAAUUUACGGUGUAGCAGUGAAAUGCGUAGAUAUCGUAAGGAAGACCAGUGGCGAAGGCGGGUCUCUGGACAGUUCCUGACGCUGAGGCACGAAGGCCAGGGGAGCAAACGGG
rnacentral:rRNA from 1 species